rnacentral:rRNA from 1 species
UACGGAGGGCAGCAACGUUGCUCGGAAUCAUUGGGCGUAAAGCGCACGUAGGUGGCUUGUUAAGUCGGGUGUGAAAUCCCUGGGCUCAACCCAGGAAGUGCACUCGAAACUGGCGAGCUUGAGUACUGAAGAGGGUCGCGGAAUUCCUGGUGUAGCGGUGGAAUGCGCAGAUAUCAGGAGGAACACCGAUGGCGAAGGCAGAUCUCUGGGCCGUAACUGACGCUGAGGAGCGAAAGCAUGGGGAGCGAACAGG